CCUUAAUGUGUGAUUUCUGGUUUCAGCAGUGAGCAGCUGCUGAUGGAAACGGGGAAAGAGCGGUGAAAGUCCGUCGCUGUCCCGCAGCUGUGAAUCGUCUCCGCGAGAGCCGUCAGUCAGAACGCCCGCCAGACCUUCAAACGACGA
rnacentral:ncRNA from 2 species